AAGACUAUACUUUCAGGGAUCAUUUCUAUAGUUGGUGACUAGAGAAGUGUGUCCGAAAGUGAUCGGUCUCGCUAGCCACGAGGACGAGUCGUGGCGCCCUUCCCUGAGCGUGAGGCGGGCGGGCGGCGCUGCUGUGCGGUGCUGCCCGUCAUCGAUGACCGUUCCGCCCCUUUGGGGGUUGGAGGGGGAGGGCGCGGACUGAGUGGU
rfam:Alligator sinensis unplaced genomic scaffold scaffold118_1, whole genome shotgun sequence